rnacentral:rRNA from 1 species
AUGGUGGGCGUGGGCGUCGGGACGGGGGCGCUGGGCUCCGUCAUCGGCAAGCUCGCCACCCUGCUGGGCGACGAGUACAAGAUGCUCAAGCGGGUCCGCAAGGACAUCGCCUUCCUCGAGCGCGAGCUCCGCCGGAUGCAGAUCCUGGUCAACGUGCUCGCGGACAUGGAGGGGCUCGACGAGGUGGCCAAGGAUUGGAAGGCCAGCAUGCGCGAAAUCAGCUACGACAUGGAGGAGUGCAUCAACCGCUUCAUGCUCCGUCUCGGGAACGGCGACGCCAAGCCUGGGUUCAGGAAGAAGACCGUGCGCCGGCUCAAGACGCUCUUUGAGCGCCAUGGAAUCGGCACCCAGAUCAAGGAGCUCAAGGCCCGUGUCGCCGAGGAGGACGAACGGCGGCAGAGGCUGAACCUCGACAACUACGCCCCAGCGACGAACGUGGCGAUAGAUCCCCGACUAGCUGCGUUUCACAGGGUGGCCAUUGACGGCCCUAGGGAUCAAAUUACCUCUUGGUUGACAGAGGAAAGUGUGGACCUGAAGCUGGUGGCCAUUGCUGGAGGUGGAGGGCUCGGAAAGACUACUCUUGCCAUAGAGACCUAUCGCACGAUUGGAGAGCAAUUCCAGUGCCGAGCUUCGGUGUCGGUGUCGGGCACCCUUGAUCCCGACAAGUUCUUGGAAGAUAUCCUGUCUCAAAUCGACGAAGCUGCAUCCAGUAAAUACCAGUUGGAGAGGUGGAAGAAAGACGAGCUAAUCCGUGAGAUCCAAAGAAUCUUGACAGGAAAGAGGUAUAUUUUCUUCAUACAGACAUGUUACUAG